UCCGACACAACAAAAAAAGAAAUCAUACGACCGUUCCCAAAAAUGGUUCUUCGCUGUUACUCGUUCAGGGCGUUCAGAGCCUCGGAGCUGCUGAUAUCGCUCUCCUGUGAGCGGGGGUUGGGAGAGAUGAGUAAAAGGAGGGUUGAGCCAGCUCAUCGAAUGUCUUCUUGAUGAAAAACUUGAACUUAUUGGGCGACCUCUAAGCUCAGCAAGGUUGAAAGAGCUGCCAAAAAAAAAGUUCUCGAAGAAAGCCUCAUUCCAGCACGUCCAGCGUCGUAUUUGGAGCAUAAGGAAGAGAAAUAGAAGCGGUGGAGCGACGAUGAAACCCAGCCGGACGAGUGAUAUCGCAUGCUAAUCAGUCCAUACUCUAUGGCAGACGAAGGAAAAAAAAAAAGGAUUAACCUGACUGAGAAUGAAGAACUUCCCCGUGCGCUGGUCGCCGGGGGAGAUUCAUCCGGGACGGAGGGGCAGACGAAAUGUAGGAAACCCGCCGACCUCAAGAUUUUCGAACCAGAGAAGGAAGAUCAAGCGAGAGGGAGACGUGAAGCUGCUUAGGUUUCCGGCUGUUCGUGGACGAAAUGCGGAAAAGAGUUAAGCCCUUGAGCGAAGGAGGAUCUCAGAUCAUACCCUGCAGAGAUUGGUCAUCGAACUGGGGGAUCUUGCCAGGAUAUCCGCGUCCGGGUAGAUCCAGC
rnacentral:lncRNA from 1 species